GAAAUGCAAAAUCAUCGCUCUCUCUGUGCCUCACCCCUCUUCCUCACACAAACUACUCUCUCAGAGCCUUAUUCUCUCUGAGAAGUGAAACCACACACCAAUCUUCUUCUUCUCAAUCUCGCUCUUGCUCUCACAUCUCUAUCAUUUCAUUUUUUCAUCGCUCAAAUCUCUUCCCGGUUAUCAUCUCAAUCUUAAUCGCGCUCUGAAUCCUUUUCUCGGACAAGCUUGUGUUGAUUUCGAUUGAAAUCUCAAUCGCGCUCUAGCAAUCAGUCGUGGAAUCCGCCAUCAGUGUUGAGCACGUCGAUUUCACAAAGGCAUGCCACAUCUUGUAAUGUGCAUCACUAUUUAGACAAACAGUGCCGAUGGUUUUGAUUGUUCAAUGUGUUGGAAAAAGAUCGGUUCAUAUUUUUCUUCCAAUUUCACUCUGCGGCAGUUUCAUGUGCAGCAAAAUAUGUCAUCGUAUGAUGCUGAAACCACUUAUUAUGAUGAAGGUCCAAGAUCUACAUACCGAAAUCAACUUAAAGAAAAUUUGUUGCAGAUUCAUUGAUUGGGAACCUUACAAGAUUUCAGCAAUUGGUUAUAGUGAACAAGCACGGAGCAUAUAUUUGCAGAUUCCAGGAACUGUUGUUUCUUACAAUUUUGAUAUAGGAAUUAUGAGAACAAUCUGCAACUAUUCAUAUCCAGGAAUUAACUUCAAUUGCUGCAAAUUUCUUCCUUUAAUUGCUUUUGGGGUUACCAAUGGUACAAGAGAAGUGGUUACCAAUCUUCUGAAAACUCUCUUAUCUUUGAUCUCUAUGCAAUAGAUGGAAGAGAAUGCUGAAAGAGGCACUCCAAGCUGCUGAUGUUGUCACUUUUGAUUAUCCCUAUAUCACUGGAAAGAAGAAGGCUCCUCCAAAGGCAGAAAAAUUGGUGGACCCUUACUCUGAAAUUGUCAAGCAAACUGCUGUUAAGUACCCUGGUCAUCCCAUCAUACUUGCAGGCAAAUCAAUGGGUUCAAGG